UGGGGAAUUUUGGACAAUGGGCGCAAGCCUGAUCCAGCCAUGCCGCGUGAGUGAAGAAGGCCUUCGGGUUGUAAAGCUCUUUCGGCGGGGAAGAAAUGGUUUCGGUUAAUACCCGGAGCUGAUGACGGUACCCGCAUAAGAAGCACCGGCUAACUACGUGCCAGCAGCCGCGGUAAUACGUAGGGUGCGAGCGUUAAUCGGAAUUACUGGGCGUAAAGCGUGCGCAGGCGGUUUUGUAAGUCAGAUGUGAAAUCCCCGGGCUCAACCUGGGAACUGCAUUUGAGACUGCAAGGCUAGAGUGUAGCAGAGGGGGGUAGAAUUCCACGUGUAGCAGUGAAAUGCGUAGAGAUGUGGAGGAAUACCGAUGGCGAAGGCAGCCCCCUGGGUUACUACUGACGCUCAUGCACGAAAGCGUGGGGAGCAAACA
rnacentral:rRNA from 2 species